CAGACAGUUCAACAAAUCAGGAGGACCACAACAAGGUCCAGAUGCUGUGGUUCAUCUGUCUGUUGUUUACUUGGAAGAACAGAAGAACACUGAUGAUAGAGUCACCUUGAUCUGCUCUGUGUUGACUGAUGAUGAGUGUGACACAGUGAAGUGGUUGUAUGAGGGGAAUGAGAAUGACGUGGAGAUAACAGCUCAUACCUGUUCAGCCAGUGUGACAUUUCCUCCUCAUCUUAAUCAGAAGUUACUGAAGUGUAAUGUGACAGAUAAGAAGAAUGGAAACACGCUGCUGUGUAAUGUCGGCCCCCAGUCCUCUUGUAAGAAAACAGGAAGCACAACAGUGGGAACAGAUAACACAUCACCAACACCAGAG